rnacentral:pre_miRNA from 1 species
UCCCCACUCCCUGAGACCCUAACUUGUGAUGCGUUCUGCGCCGCCUUCCCAGGUUAGAUUCUCAGGCCCUGGG